AUAGUGUCCCGGCUCUGCCGCUGGUUGCCUCCGCCCGCAAGAGGGUGGGGCAACGGGAGGAAAGUCCGGGCAGCACAGGGAGCUCCACUUCCGAAAUUAGAAGCUAUUGGCGACAGUAGGCUCAGGCAGAAGAGAACGACCGCCGUCCCGUGUGGGCGGUAAGGGUGAGAAGGUGGUGUAAGAGACCACCAGCCGGCGGGUGAUCGUCGGGCUGUGUCGGCUGGAGGCUGCAAGUUCAUGUAAACCAUCGUUUAUGGAGGGUGCCCGCCCAAACACGACUCCUUAGGGAACGGUGUACGAUGGAGGGUAGAACGCUAAAGCCGCAGGGUGACUUGCGGAUUAGAUAAAUGGCAGGCGCCUUGUGUCCUGAGAGGGGCAUGAGGAACAGAACCCGGCUUAUAGGGGCGCUAUUUUC
rnacentral:RNase_P_RNA from 1 species